UCGUUCAACCCACCCUGAAGCCGCUCGCUGUCCGUCAAAAGUAUUCCAAUCAAAACACUCAAUUACAGUUGGUUUAGCGUCGCGUGUGUGCGGACUUAUGGAUGGUGGUGUUCCGGCAUCGGUGGCUGACGCCGUGUGAGGCCUACCGCUGGUGUUUGUGGCCGGGCCGCCCGUGAGAGGUGCCUCCGAGCGAUGGACGAGCAACAAAGAAUGAUGCACCCAGUAUCACAACAUCCCAUCGUGAGCAUGGCGGGUCAUGUUGUGCCUCAGCAUGGCUACGGAAUGGGCCCGCAGUCGCACGGUGUCGACCCGACGGGCCAGCAGGCCGCGCCGGACCAAGAGCCCAGGAAACACGACAUUUCGGAAAUUCUCCAACAGAUCAUGAACAUCACCGACCAGAGCUUGGACGAAGCCCAAGCGAGGAAACACACGCUCAACUGCCAUCGGAUGAAGCCAGCCCUCUUCAGCGUCCUCUGCGAAAUCAAGGAAAAAACAGUGCUGAGCUUACGGAACACGCAAGAAGAGGAGCCCCCGGACCCUCAGCUGAUGCGGCUGGACAACAUGCUGAUCGCCGAGGGCGUGGCGGGUCCCGAGAAGGGCGGCGGCGCCGGGGCAGCGGCCAACGCGUCUGCGGCGGCCUCCGGGGGCCAGCCCGAGAACGCCAUCGAGCACUCCGACUACCGGGCCAAGCUCGCGCAGAUCAGGCAGAUCUACCACCAGGAGCUGGAGAAGUACGAGCAGGCGUGCAACGAGUUCACGACGCACGUGAUGAACCUUUUGCGAGAGCAGAGUCGGACGCGGCCGAUCACGCCCAAGGAGAUCGAGCGCAUGGUGCAGAUAAUCCACAAGAAGUUCAACUCCAUCCAGGUGCAGCUCAAGCAGAGCACCUGCGAGGCCGUCAUGAUCCUCAGGUCCAGGUUCCUCGACGCAAGGCGAAAGAGACGCAACUUCAGCAAGCAAGCGACGGAGAUCCUGAACGAGUAUUUCUACUCGCACCUUAGCAACCCGUACCCGUCGGAGGAGGCCAAGGAGGAACUCGCCAGGAAGUGCGGCAUCACCGUCUCUCAGGUGUCUAAUUGGUUCGGCAACAAGCGGAUACGAUACAAGAAGAACAUAGGGAAAGCGCAAGAAGAGGCAAACCUGUACGCAGCCAAGAAAGCGGCGGGGGCAUCGGCGUACAGCAUGGUGCCCACGACGCAGGGUCAGCAGGGUCAGAUGAUCAGUCCGCCCCCGCCGGGAGGGCCCCAGGACUCCAUGUACAACAUGAGCAUGAACGGCGGCGACUCCUACCAGAACGCCAUGGGCGCCAACGUGCAAUCUCAGCUCUGCAAUUUGGAGACGUGGGCCUGAGGAAGCGGCGGCGGCGAUCGUUGAUGAUGGCUCGCGGGAGGAACCUCGCCCUGCUCUUUGGCAGCGCCAGUGUCGCGUCGUCGUCGCCUGCCGACCUCGGUGCCGGCUGUUUGUAAGCUAGGCAGGGAAAAGAGAGUGCGGCCGCCGCCAACAGGUGACGCGCGCGUGGCAGCUGCGACUCUGGGCCGACCGGGUCCCGCUUCUGCGACUUUCGAGUUCUUCUUCACCGCCAUCCACCCAAGACGAACGGACUAAGCGCCAUCAAGGGCUGGACGCGUGAAAAGACGGUACACACGGCGGCCAGCUUGGAGCACCGUCCACACGCGGAGACGCCCACGACGCCACCCGGGGCCGCCGGCCCCGUGCGCAGCAGGGGCGGCGCUCCGCUCUGUAACAUAGACUCUGCCGCGAGGCGCCCCUGCACUGCGGGGAAGAUCCCUUUCUGUCCCUGUGCUCACUCUGGGACGACGUCUGCUCCUCGGCGCCUGCCUCUUUGUACGCUGUGCGUUCCCCGAAGGGAAUCUGGACUCCCGUCGGCCGGAACACGUGCGUUUUGCCGGGGACACAGUUUUAUUUUGGUUUAUUCGACGCGCAAUUUGCUGGACGGAAUUGCGGGUGCGUACUGUAAGCGGGACCGGCCGCCAGCGGGAUCGAGACUUUGUUCCUCAUGUGAUAGGUGGUUAGGGGUUCACGAUGGUCGGUUCUCUCCGCGACGGCGUGGCUACGGGCCAGAGGGUGUCCCUUUUCUUUCGCGAGUCUUUUCGCGUGCGGUUACUGCUCCGAAAGAACGUGCGCGUGAUCGGACUGCUCGGUUUCUGUCUCGCCCGGGUGCUAGGCUAACAGUCGACGAGUAAGAACUGCGCCUCGUGGGCGUUUUUUAUGGAUGUCCUGUCACGAGCGAUGGUGUAUGAAACCAUCCCAUUUUACUUGCACCCAGCCACGGUAUGCGUCCUCCACGCCCGCACAAAGCCUUUACCAGAUGGCUAACCGAGAGCAGGGUCACCUUGGGCAGGUGAGCUCGUUGCCGACAAACGUUGGGCCGUUGUCCCAGAACAACUCUCCCCGUCCACCCCCGAAGGGAACUCGGGCGCCUCCGGGUCGCAUUGUUAGGCGCUGUCCUUUGUGCGAAGGACGCUGGGAACGUGCGCGGAAGACGGCAGCGCUGAUUAUGAUAACGCUCAUUAUCUCACUCGCAACUUUCUGAUUAAUUCCGGAGAAGCGAGUUCUCCGCUCAACUUUCUUUCUCUUGGGCGCGCCUUCUCGGGCCAGCAAAAGACAGAAAAAGGCAGCUUUUCUUGCUGGCCCGAACGCACUUGGGGCCCUUUGGCCAGGCACCGCCAAGUCGCGCGAGGAUUGGUCAAGGCGGCGUCGGCCCCGCGCCGACUGGGCCAAUCGGCGACCGGCGCCACGCCCACUUCCUUGCGGCCCCUCGCGGGACUCGGGUUCGGAGCGCAUGCGCAGAACGUGCCGCGCAGAGCUCGCUGUUCCCGCGGAGUCUCGCCCGGGGCUCCGGCGACACCAGGCGUCGAACCCCGGAGCUCCGCGCACCGGGCUGCAGCGGGCCGCGCUCUCGGCGGCGCCGCUCCCACGCUUCCCUCGGAGAGGAUCCUUUCUGGUUUUCUCUCCCGUAGGAUUCAAAGUCAGCUUUGAAAACACCGGAGCGAGGCCGUUGGCGAAAUUUCACAUCAGAUAUCUCGAGCAAAACGCCCCUAGGUGGCAGCAAUCGCAAAAAUAGGUUAGCGAAGCUCUUUGGCGUCCAUGCGGCGCUAGGUUUUUUCGCGUAUCCCUUUACACAGUUUCGCGUAAUGCGAAUAUUUAUCGCUCGAACCCGUAAGCGACUCCGGACGGGCGUAGUCCACGCUAUUCGUUCCCCGUCGCCCGUCACAAUGAGGCUCGUGUAGUGACGCGCAAGAAUUCCGCAUUUCUUUGGUUCUCGGGAGUAAAAACGGUGACGUGUUUGACGUCAUGAACCUCGUUCUGUACUCGCGGUUUGGUUACGAAACUCGAUUUGUUUCGUCACCGCCUCUAACGGCGGUUUUCUUCGUCGUUUUGAGCUGCUCUGGUUGCGCAACGACGAUGGGGACCAAACCGCGUUAAAGUUACUGGAUCCUGAAAAAGUAGCGCCGAGGUCCCGGUCGCCAUUCUGGUUCAUACAAUGAUCUCCUCGCUGAGCAGAUCCAACUUCGCAGUGACGAGUUGCUUCAUAAAGACAUUUCGUUAUCCACAGCACACCUACGAGACAAGCGCGCUUCUUUACACCAUAGAUGGUGUCGGUGCUUCGCGGACAAAUGUUUCCUCGUGAAAUACGCAUCAAGAACAAUAUUAGUGUAAGAGAGAUACGCGGAGAUCAAACAGAUUGAUUAGUCGAUCGCGUAUAUCGUGCCAAAGACGCUCAUAUUGGUAAGGACCGCUUUCAGUAUACGAUGACACCGCUGCGAUCUUGGUGCUGCCGGUACAACCUUUCGAAUCUUCGGAGUUCUCGAAGGACCAAAACGUUGAUUGCCGCGGCAACAAAGACCGAUCACCUAAUCGCCUCGCGAGGUUUUGUUAGUCUGUGUUAGUAUAUGUUUGUUGGAAGCCAAUGCCACUGCUUUCCCAGGAUCCAGUCAAACUGCGCGAGACUAGAAUUAAAGCAACGAUAUUUUUCAAGCUUUCACCGUUGUCAUGUGGAAGUGACAGGGUAUCGAUAUCGUUCCAACCAAUCGAAAUUUCUGAUCGCCUCAAAACCACGACACGUAGUUUUAGAGCUACUCGGACUUCUUAAAAAAGACGAGCGCGCAAGUAUAUACUCAGCUUGAACACGGACGCAGCCCACGUAAUACGAGCCGACGGGAACGAUGAGACGGCGUCAAAAGCGCCAGUCACCGGGACUCCUCUGUACGUGAUCGGUUCAGCGACAUUAGAACGCGCACAGAAACACGAGGAACACCGUGUCGGUGCGCGUUUGACCCUGUUCGAUCGGUCCGACCAAGUUACAGCGUCGACUGCGUCCGUCCGGUCUCAAGGAGAAACGAAAAAGUUUAAUUUGGGUGUCGCGCUCCCGACACAAAGAGACACCCUCGCGUCACGAGGAACCGAGCCGUUUCCAAUCAGGUAGCCGGCCGAGAGCGCGGUGCCCAAGUGCGAAGGUGAAAGGGAGCGGGGGCCUCGGAGCCCAAUCUCGAGGCAAUUGCUCGGGGCCCCCUCAUCUGCAUAGCGAAGCCUCCGUCGGCCUUCGAGUCUCUCGGGCCCCGAGUGCCUGCCCGUGUUUCCGCUCCUGCAGCCAGCGCCUCAGUCGCGGAGAGAACUGGGCCGACCAGGCGCCGCCUGAGCCGGAUACGACGACGUUCGGACGUUUCUGUUUUCGAGUUGCCCGCACGAAACCUGGGAGACGUCAGUGACCGAACCCGCGACAGACGUGCCCUCCUCGCGUACGUACGGGCAGACAACCUUCGACGCAUAUUCCUCCGCCUAUGUAGGCGAUGUGUGCGCCUGCGAUGGCAGGCCUCAUCUGUGGCGGCAGUAGUGCAGUCUAACAACCAACCCUUUUUUUUUUUUUUAUGGAAUAUUGUUAGGGUUGUUUGCAGCAGCUCUCACUGUUCAUAAGGGCUAGGGCGGUUUGAAACAACUCUUAAAAGGAUACUCACUGGCCAUGACCUGAAGGAUCUUUGAGGAAAGUCAACCCUAGGCUAGCUCACCUGAGUCAAACAGAAAAGGUUAAAAACAUUUUAACCUUUUUCUUAAUAAAAACGGUCGUGGAUGUGAAAAUUCGAAUCUGGCGUGAAACUGUCUCGCACUACCACCGCCCAGAAAAUAUGCGUUUUUAUUAUUGUUUUUUUUUUUUUUUUAGUUUUUGUGUGGUCCAGAAUCUCUAUCCGGCUCUGGGACCGCCAUCGGGUUCGAUGGUGUAGCAUUGAGUGGCGCCGCAAUAAAGACGAGUGAAGUGUUGGCGCGCCGCGUGGGCCAGAGGACGGACGGGAUUGAUGCGGGGAUGUGAUCGUUUGGGCUCCGUUCGGCACAGCCGCGCUGCCGAAAGGAAGAGGAAUCUCACCCAUUUCUAUCGAAUCGCCAUGCACAUUGACGUAGCCCACCCGCUUGGCGCCGGGUGGCUUACUCGUUGGUUCCCUUACUGCUAUGAUUUUCCCGGAGAUUCGAAUCCGCAGACACUACUGGGCCCUCUUCCGGAGGAUCUCGAAAGGUGUGCACGGGCUGGGCGGUGCAAGGAGCAGCUGCUCUGUCGGUGGCUGCUCCCGGCCUCGUCCAGUCGGCGACUUGUUUCGUUCGGGCCGAGUGACGUCAUUCAGAUUUUCCUUUUGUAAAAACUGUGUCUUGCUUUUGUGUCGCUGUCCUCUCUGAAGGGAUUGAGGCCGAGCGUUUGUGGCCCGGUUGCGCACUGGGUGCGGAAGGCCGCCUACGCCAAUUUUGGAUUUAUGGGGCGCUACCGCGGCGAUUUGAAGGCCGACUCUGCCACCCAUGGAUCGCUGGAAGCCGGAUGUCUCCAACGACGCUAGGGUCGGCUCGCUAGGAACCAAAUGAGCGAAAUGUUUGAUCGGACAGCCGCCGAAACGACGUCUGAGCACGGCGUCGGAGUCCUCGAAAGUGCUUUCGUUCCACGAGUGAUCGUGCACACGGGGCAUUCUCAAGAGCUUCGCUCCGGCUCCUCUGGCUCGGAUGGUGCUGCACACAAUGUGCUGGGCCAAUAGGCUGGUGCAACUCCGCGUACGACGGCGCUCCGAGACAACCACUCAAAUUCGCCAACCGAAAUCGUUGCCGAGGACAGGUGGCGCGUUGAGGUUGCGAUCCCCUGGCAGUAUAUGCUGCUCGUGCCUCAACCGGACUGUCAGUUCUCGGCGACUGUAUUCGGGUAGAAUGAUCCCUCGUUUGGCUCCGAGCGGGCCGGCGUCUGCCUCCCCGAGGGCCAAGUUCUGCGGUUCGAACUCCGGUACGGGCGCAGCGUCGCGCCGCGCCCGCGUGUCCGCCCCGGCGCGCGGGUGUCGGGCGGCGCUCGCAUGACAGGGUGUCUUUUAUUCACGCAAUACGAGUUUCCGCGGCCUGCGGGAUGGAUGGGCCGCGGCCCGGGACGACGCCCAGGAACCCAAGCCGCCGCCACCGCCGCCUCGGGAGGGCCUCGCUGCGUGGGGCCUUCGUCUCUGCACCGCUUGCCUGGAGGGCAAAAAGCUCUUAUCACGCUUCGAAGGCUCACAUCUGAAAGUAGAAUUUUUGGGUGCAGGCGUAGUCGUAAUAUUCCCGAUAUAAGAUUAGCAUCGCUCUUCCGAUCACGAAUCGGCCAAUUUUAGGCAGUUAGCUUUACCUCAAACAGUUAUAACAUCGUUGUAAGAGGGCAAGCGAAAAACACAAUUACCCUUCCAGACGUGGAAGUCUAGAUCCACCGCGCCGCGUGAUUUUCAUGCAGUCUCGGACAUCCUUCCACCGUCGUUUUUGGAUCAUCAACAAAAAGGACGUGGCGAUCAAAAGUUCGCCCGCUUAUUGAGGCCUGCCCUUUCACUCGAGAAAACAUUUGCCCCUAAGAGAGUAGCGUUACUAGUGCAUAGUACGAAAAUGGGUUUUGCGAUUUGGUUCCGACUCGUGGUCGAGGCCCCCCAGGUCCUGACUGGCCCGACCUGUGUCCUUCAGCGUGCGACGUCUGGGCUGCCCGAGGCCCCGGCGGCGGCUGGGGUCCCUCUGGGCGUUCUUUCGGGCGUCGUGGGAGCCCGACGCUGUGUAUACCUGCCUGCCCCCCCACGGUUCCCCGAAAACGCGUGUACAUAUGUGAGCGAUGGCGUUUCGGGGACUCGACACGAAUAAAAGGUUUCCCGUGUUUUUGCAGACGCUUUUA